GACGAACGCUGGCGGCGUGCUUAACACAUGCAAGUCGAACGGAAAGGCCCUGCUUUUGUGGGGUGCUCGAGUGGCGAACGGGUGAGUAACACGUGAGUAACCUGCCCUUGACUUUGGGAUCACUUCAGGAAACUGGGGCUAAUACCGGAUAGGAGCUCCUGCUGCAUGGUGGGGGUUGGAAAGUUUCGGCGGUUGGGGAUGGACUCGCGGCUUAUCAGCUUGUUGGUGGGGUAGUGGCUUACCAAGGCUUUGACGGGUAGCCGGCCUGAGAGGGUGACCGGCCACAUUGGGACUGAGAUACGGACCAGACUCCAACGGGAGGCAGCAGUGGGGAAUAUUGCACAAUGGGCGGAAGCCUGAGGCAGCAACGCCGCGUGCGUGAUGACGGCCUUCGGGGUGUAAACCGCUGUCGCCUGUGACGAAGCGUGAGUGACGGUAAUGGGUAAAGAAGCACCGGCUAACUACGUG
rnacentral:rRNA from 1 species